rnacentral:rRNA from 1 species
ACGCUCGACACCUACGGGAGGCAGCAGUGGGGAAUAUUGCACAAUGGAGGAAACUCUGAUGCAGCGACGCCGCGUGAGCGAAGAAGUAUUUCGGUAUGUAAAGCUCUAUCAGCAGGGAAGAAAAAGGACGGUACCUGACUAAGAAGCUCCGGCUAAAUACGUGUCAGCAGACGCGGUAAUCUGAGCGGGCUGGCAAGGC